ensembl:rRNA 5S_rRNA 5S ribosomal RNA
AUCUAUAGUCAUACCACCCUGAAAGUGCCCAAUCUCGUCUGAUCUUGGAAGUUAAGCAGGGUCAGGCCUCAUUAGUACUUGGAUGGGAGAAAAUAAUUCUACAGUCU